rnacentral:lncRNA from 1 species
UCCUCCACCGCUGAGGAUUUUUUUUCUCACACACCCGUUAGGAUUGCCGCACUACAUAAGGUCGCCGCUGCCUUUCAUCACCACCGAGGCAAGUGCGCUUGUGUGUUCAUUUUUAUAUUCUCACUAUCCAUAGAUUUCCUUUAUGGUGUUCCUGAUGCUGUGGCUAAGCUACAUCAUACUAACUGGACUACAUGAUUAAAAAAUAUAGUAUAGGUUGACGCAAACAUUUACUUGCAGAUGUCUGUCACAUGUGCAAAGGAAUGCCCAAUGCAGAUUACCUAAUGUUGUUGUUACAUCAUACUAACUGCACGAUCAAAAAAAUAAAACAGGUUGAUGCAAACAUUUACUUGCAGAAUAUAGCUCACCAUAUCCUUAUUCCUUGACUCAAAAUAUUUAUUUUAUCUUAGUCUUCUCAGGGCUUGGCACCAAUAAAACAUUAUUUUCCUUACCAAAACAGCUUCAUGUAUGGGAUGUGUUAUUUUAUUCAUGUUUGUCCUCUACAGAAUCCACAUAGGACAUAACAUGCCAUAAAUAUAGUGCGCAAAUUGCAGGAUACGCACGUAAGAUAU